CAAAUAUUCCCCAUAAUCCUCGGCGAUAAAGAAGACGAUUAAUCAAGAACUGAGACUGACGUCUAGAAAUAAACAGCAACCGUCCAAUUUCAUUUUUUGGGUAUCUUGAUGCCGAAAGUCAUAUUUUCCCAAUAAUCCUCGGCGAGAAAGAAGACGAUUAAUCAAGAACUGAGACUGACGUCUAGAAAUAAACAGCAACCAUCCAAUUUCAUUUUUCGGUUUCUUGAUGCAGUAUAAGGGAUUCCAGGAGACUCUUAGGACGUUUGCGCAUUUGACACCUGCAUCAAGGUGCCUUUUGGCCCCCGGAAUUUGCUUGAUGUUCACCCCCAAUGUUCUCUAAUACUGUGUCUAUGCAGAGUGCCAUCUUUCCUUUGGUUUGGUGUGUGACAAGCGGUGGGGACGCUGCAGCCAGAGCACCCAGCAAGGAAUACACGGAGCAGUGCAGGAGGGGUUCUUCUGUCAAAUAAGAGAGGCUGAAAACUUGACGUGUCACUUUUCUACUAACUAACCUGCCUAACUGCUUGGUGAUGAAGACGAUGAGCCCACCUGAAGCCUCUCCAAUUCACCUUAGAGGAGGAGAUAAAUCCCUUCCUGACAUUAAAGGUGGCAAUGUGACCAUUCCCUGAAUUGAUUUUUUAUUUAGAGUUAUUUUCUCCCUUGCUAAAAAGGUAUCCAACCCCUUUUUA